rnacentral:rRNA from 1 species
UGCAGUAUUAAGGUCACGCCUGCCCAGUGAAUUAAAUUUUAACGGCCGCGGUAUCCUAACCGUGCAAAGGUAGCGCAAUCACUUGUUCUUUAAAUAAGGACUAGUAUGAACGGCACCAUGAGGAUCCACUUGUCUCUCAUAAUAAGCCUAUGAAACUGAUCUUCCAGUACAAAAGCUGGAAUAAACACACAAGACGAGAAGACCCUGUGGAGCUUCAAACCAAACUCACCAUACAUGAGCUGCGGUUUUUAGUUGGGGCGACUCUGGAGCAAAACAAAACCUCCAAACUUUACAUCCUUAGGCCAACAUGCCACCAUUCCCCCCCCCACGACCCAAUAUAAUUGAAUAAUGAACCAAGUUACCCCAGGGAUAACAGCGCCAUCUUCUUCUAGAGUCCCUAUCGCCAAGAAGGUUUACGACCUCGAUGUUGGAUCAGGGUACCCAAAUGGUGCAGCCGCUAUUAAAGGUUCGUUUGUUCAACGAUUAACAACCCUACGUGAUCUGAGUCCAAAACCGGAGGAGUUCCACUAAGGGUUGCUCUCCCACCCAUAACCACUGGCAUGAACGAAACACACACCAAACAGAAACCUUACUAAAUACUUCAUUCACCCACCCGAGGAGGGGACGGGAUUCAAUUCACACACCUAUUCUGAUUUGUGGUUUUGGCUCUUUGACAAAAAAAAAAAACC